UACUGGGCUGUCGUGGCUGCAUGGCCUGGACUUUUCUUCCAGCACCAUGAGAUUUCAGACGGGUGUGCUUCUUGGUGCGUUAUGCCUGUUUCAGUACCCAAAGGAAGUGAAAGCCUGUAUCGACAGUUCACUCAUGUACCCAGGAACCAACCUGGAUGUGUGAAAGCAAGUGCUAUUUCUUCCUAUUAUAUAGCCACCAGUCACUCAGGCUGUACUGUCAACUUUCGCUUGGGCUUAUCUUCAAAACUAAUAUUAAAGUGUGUUGCUGCAUAA